GCGGUACCGUCAAACUCGAGCUAUGUUAGAGCCCGAGCUUUCGUCCCGCAUGACAGGGUUUUACGACCCAAGGGCCUUCAUCACCCACGCGGCGUCGCUGGGUCAGGCUUUCGCCCAUUGCCCAAUAUUCCCC
rnacentral:rRNA from 1 species